AACUUCUCCGGCAAGUAUUACGAGCCAUAGACAUCCAACCUUGAAACCAGGGUUCCCGGUGGGGCUCCUAAUUGAACAAGGAAGAGGAAUCUCCAGUUUUCUUAGGUAUUUGCUGGAGUUGGAUAAGUGAACACUCCUCUGUAAACAAACAAAUUUGUAGAUUGAUCCUCUUUGAUUUGCCUUCUGUAACUCGAAAUGACAGAUUUGUUUCAUCAAAUUUUUGUCAUGG